ensembl:lncRNA
UCUUUUUCCCUCGGCUCUCAUCCUGACCGCACACAUUGCCUGAGCGCUACUUGUAAGGCCUAUAGCUUUCAGUUCUGCUUCAUGAAACUGAAUUUCUGGACUUGUAACAUGCUUCAUACUGUGGAUUCCAAAAAACUUUAACAGAAUUUGAAAAGAUAGAAUCAAUAUUGGGAUACUGGUGACUGACUGAAUAGACUGUAUUCUGUUCACACAGUACUAUGUACAUUUUGCCUUUACACUAGACGUUUAAUUUUAUGAAUUAAAAGUCAUGAGUUUAGCAAAGAAAUCUAGAGCUCAAAAUUAUAUUUUCUUAAUGUCAAUUUUCCAAGAAAAAAAUUAAAACUCCAACUUAUCAUCUUUUUUAUAAAUAUAUGCAAAACAGUCUUGACAGCUCUCUUAGCUCUGUAACAAAAUGCCUUUUACCUGUAACAUGAAAAUAAUGCCAGUGCCAGGCAGAACUACUGUAAAUCUCAGACAAUGAAAAACGGCUGUUCCGUAAUUCUGUUGUUUUUUUUUUCUGUUGUUGUUUUGUUUUUUUUCCUGAACUUUACAGUUUUAUCUAAAGUGGGAUCAGGGUGGAGAAAACAGAGAGGAAGGCCCUCUCAGCCAGGACAUUUAAUGUUGUGUCAAUUGUCUUUGCUUUUCAUUUGCACUUCUCUCAUCUUUCUAUUGAUAUUUUCUUACCACGCACUACUUCUGACUCUACCUCACUUUCUAACUGUGAUGCUCUGCCUUCCCUAUGCUAAAGUAUACCUGAGCUAUUAAAAAUUAUUUUUCCUGUGAGUUUCUCUUCAGCACCUGAAUGUGAGCCAGUGUUUCAAUCUCGGAAUUCUCAUUGACAAUCUUACUUCUCAUUGAGAUAGGAGGCAGAGAAUGGCCAGCAAAUUUUACUUAUGACUGACCUUCUCAUUAAGUAAUUUUUAUUGUUCCUCAAAGACUGCAUUAUAUAAGGAGAAUGGAAAAGUGCCAGUGAAAGCUUACGGACCAAUAUACAUGUGUACCGAGAUAAGAAUUUAUUUUAGGCA